rnacentral:lncRNA from 1 species
CAACAUAUUGUCAAGGGGGAAGGUUAUUGCCUAAAAAGGGGGAAGAGAAGGGGGAUGAUUGUUGCAAAAAAUUAGGAUCUUCUUGCUAUUAUGAGGAGGAUAAAUGAGAAAUAGAAAAGGGGAGCCACACACUAAAAAAACACAGAAUUGGAAGCAUAAUAAUUAGAGAAAGAGAAAAUAAGGAGAAACAAUUUGGAAACUUAGAAGUGCUUGGAGCUUGAGUAAAGUGUCUCAAAUUAUGGAGCAAAAAAAUCAUACUAUUUGAGG